AUGCUACGUUAGACUGUUUACCAAAUACAAGAAAUACUGUCAGACUGUUGCACAGAAAUGUGACGCAUUUUACUUCACUCCACUGAAAAAUGUGAAAAAAGAUGCAUGGUUUUCAUCCAUUCCCGUGGGUCACAACACACUGCAGGCGACAGUAAAGAGACUUUGUGAAGCAGCAGGGAUAACUGGAAGGAAGACCAACCACUCGUUGAGGGCCACAUCAGCAACACGGCUGUUUCAGGCGAACAUCGAUGAACAACUCAUUUGUGAACAAACUGGUAUAUAUAUUAUCUGUGGAAUUCUUUGCACUGAAUGUCAGUGAUUAAAGCUCGCGGUAGGGUUGAAGUGUACUGUUGAUAUAUUUUGAUUUAAAAAAAAAAAAAAGAAAAAAAGGCAGGGGUGUCUGACUUUUUGUAUGUUGACACAAAGAACAUGCAUACGGUCCUGCAGCCAAAGUCGGCCUCACAGAUCCGUGCACAGGUCCCACCGGCAGCUACAGAGACAAAUCCACAAGUUCCACCGGCAGCUACAAAGACACCUCCACGGGUCCCACCGGCAGCUACAUACAAAAAUCCGCAAGUUCCACCGGCAGUUACAAAGACACCUCCACAGGUCCCACCGGCAGCUACAGAGAUAGUUCCACAUGUCACACCGGCAUCUACAGAGACAACUCCACAGGCACAUGGUUCUACAAAGGAUCAUUCUGACACAGAAUCCAAACAUUAUACUGUCAUUUUUAAUUUCCAUUAAAAUAAAUAGUUAAAACGUG